AAAGUAAUUCUAAGCUAACGCUGGCUGCUUUUCUACUAAAUAUGAAUCUCAACAUAGGGGAAAUAUGAAUAUAAAGAUAUAAUAAAUGUGGAAAUCUUAUCUGAAAUAUACUAAUCGCACAAGUCUUGGUAAAACAAUACUGAAAAAUCUGAAUACUGAAUCAAAAUUCUAAAACUGAAUCUAGAAGUCCGAUAAGUCUCUACUGACUGAAUCUAGAGAGUCACUAGGACAAGACCCAGCUGACUCAAACUAUCUGAAAUGAAUAAUGAAACAUCUACUAAUAAACUUGAAAUCUGAAUAGCUAAGUCCCCAGACUAUGAGGACUCACCAACUGCAGGAAUGUAGAUAAGAUGCUCGAAAAUCACUCACGCUGAUGAAACUGAGCACUUGAACCUACAUUAUGAGACAAUGUAGCAUAUAGACGUAUAUGUGGAUCAGUACUUUGAUGAUGUACUAAGUAUAUGGGGGUGAAUGUAAUAAGUAAGCAAUGUCAUCACAAUUUAUAAAAUCAUGCAUGCUAAAUGUAAAUGACUCACAUAGGCUUGAGUAAUCUGAAAUCUGAAGAUCUUAAAUCAUGAAUAGUAAAGCACAUAAUAUAAAUCUUGUGAUCUAUUACACUUAGUUCUGCAAUCUGUAUUCUGUUCUUAUUCUCAAAUCGUAUAGGCUAAGUGAAAUCUGAAAACUCAUUCUACAUGGAAAAAAAUAUUUUAUCUUAAGGAAAAUCUUUCAAAGCUUUUCUUUACUAGUAGAGAGGUUCUUCUAACCGACAUAAACCAUGUGAGAAUUCAUGGAGUCCAACGUUCUUGUCCCCUUAAGGAGAAAUUCUUACGUUGAGGAGAGGAGUCAUACUCUUGCCAAAGAGUAUAACCUAUCUAAAUGAGCAUAUAUCUAUCAUCCACGUAGAAGUGGGAACAAUCUAAAUCCUACAUUGGUACGUAGUUUUGGGGUAUGAAACCGUAGUAAAGUACCCAUUUCGGUGCUAAAUACUACUCUCAUUAAAUCUAUAAGCUCAUUCUGAUGAAAAUCCACUUUUAAAAUAAUCUAAUGGUUUAUAAAUCAACCGUAUAUCUGUAAAGCUAAAUCUGUAAUCUGAAUCUGUAAAGUGAAUUUCAUAUCUAUUCUGAGACCAAAAGGUCAAAUCUUUAUCAAUAAUCUGAAAGGAAUCUAGUCAUAGGGUGCUUAUAACACAAAAAUUAUUGAAAUAGCAAUCUUUAAUUAGGGCUUAAUGACCCAUGUAUCAAUCUCAUGUUCAAACAUCAAAAUGUUCAUGCUUGAUAAUGUAAACAUUGAUAAUUCAAUUCAUAAUCUGGAAAUUUCUGCAAUAUGCAUGAAAAUAUGAACAUAAUCAUGUAAUUCAACUUCUAAAUCAUUGGAAAUCUCAUAAGCUUGUAAAUAACAUUAAUGGGUAUAAACUAACUUCAAUUUCAUGGGAAAUCAUAUAAAAUUCAGUAAAUCCGUAAUUAAAAUAAGUUUUAGACACAAGGAUGAAAGGAGUAUCCUCGUUCAUAACCCCACAUACCUCAAUAGAUAAACUAGAUGCUAAAACUUGAAUCUUGGAUCUCUAUUGAUGCUUUGAAGAUGAAUUCUUAGAUUUCUUGUAUUGGGAAUCCUUAAUCUUGAAUUUCCUUGGAGAACUAAUGGAAGAAUUGGGUUUCUUGGAGAAGGAGCUUUGAUAAUAUGGGAUUUUCUUUUGAGAGAAAAGUAAUGAAAUAAGCAUAAAGUGCUUUGGUAUAUGCUUAAUGAUGUGUUUUGGAUAGAUUCCAAAAUGUCCCAACUAAAAUUUAAAUCGGAACUGGAAAUCAACCAAAAAUCUCGAUUUACUGGGCUACCGCGCCGCGCCGCGCCACGCCACUAUCGCGGCGGCUCUCUGGAAAAGGACGAGUAGGAACUGGGCGUUCAUCGCGACAUGCCACAAUUGCGGUGCCCCUUGGAUUUCCAUUUUGACCCUUGGCGCGAUGCGCUAGAAUCGCGAAAUCUCACUGGAUUGGGAUAAUUGGGAAAAUAGGCUUCUCCGCAAUUCGGGGCUAUCACAGAGGGCCACUGGAAUUUGACAAUUGCUGAUUUUGCCUUCUCCGCAAUGCUCUAAGUGCCCAGGUGGCAUACUGUCAACUUAAAAAUGCCAUAACUCCUUCACCAAGUGUCGGAUUUGGGCGAAUCUAAUAUUAUUGGAAAGCUUAUUAAAUUUUUCACACAAUGGGAGGUCUAAAUCUGGAAAAUUCGACACGAAAUAAUUAUUCUUCAUUUUGGAAGCUAUCCCUUAAUAUCCUAGGGACAGAUUUUAGCUAGAAAAGGUAUGGGGUAUUACACAUAUGCAGUACUAUCGUCAUAUUCGGAAAUUUCGGCAAUAAUUUUUAUCGAUUUCCGAUUCGUAUUCAUCGACUAUAGGUUUUUUCCUCUUGGAGGUUUUGAAAACUUCUUCGGCUUUUCACUUCCUACUUCUAGAAGCAGUGAAAACAGGUUUCUUAACUGCUCUAUGAACUCUUCUCACCAUUUAUGAUCUACAAUAAAAAAAUGAAUCUACAGUUGUUGAUUUAUCAACCACUGGUCUAUUAAUAAAAAUAAAAAAAAUGCAGCAAAAAUAAAUCUGUAGUGGUCGACCUAUCGGCCACUGGUCUAUUAAGAAAAAUGAGAAAACGGCUCACAUCAAACAUGCAAAUCAAGUUCCAACUUCACCAUAUAUUGGCAGUGCAAUUCACAACAACAAGAACACCAUUAAAAUGGGUCCAAUUCUGUAUAAAAAAUUUAAAAUCAAUACUCAAUAUAAGUAAAAAAUAUUUUAAAAAAUUCUACUCAUUAGCCAAAGCAAAACACAAUCAAUUAUGCGGAAUCGAUAAUGUUAACUAAAAACUCAAAGUUCGACUAAUUCAACGAAGAACGGUAUAAUUUUUAUUAGAAUUGAAGAAUCCCAACACAAAAUGAAAUAAAAAAAAUAACUAAAAUGGAUCUAAAACUAAGCGGGGAAGAAUAUUAAACUCAUGAGCAAGAGAAACUGAAUAAUUUCGACCGAGAAAGCAGAAUCGUGCAAAAAAAAAAAAUUUCAAAAAAUUUGAACUAAAAUCGGAAGAAGGAUGGUUUUUCAAGAUAGAAAAAUAUUGUUUAAAAUAUUAAAUUAUUUUAAUAAAUGUUUGGAAAAUUAAUAAAUAUAAAAAAGGGACCAUGUUGUAUUUUUUAAAAAGUUGUAUUUUUUCUCCAAGUUUUAAAAAUAUUAAAGAGGCCCAUGACCCCACAACCCUGGCCCACUUUUUGCCCUUUUCAAUCCUUAACCCUAAAAAAUAAAUUAAAAAAAAAAUUAGUGUCUAACCUUCAAAAUAAGUUUUGAAAGUGGGUAGAUUUCAAAAUAGUCUUUAGAAACUCUAACAAGUCCUUACAUAAAAUAGCAAGGAAAACUAAGUAUUCAUGAACCUAUUAAGAAAUAUCAGUGAAGUCUGAUGGCUUACAAGUAUGUAGACUAUCAAAAUGAUUCAUACAAUAAAGUUCAUUAGUUUUAUAAGCUUCACCGACAAACAAAUGUAUUAUUAUGAGUACCAAACACGCAAUACUUUCACAAACCAAACGUAACAUGUCUUUAGGACUAGAAAAAGGCACACCCUAGAACAAAACGUAGAAGUUAACGCACGCGCACACACAUAUAUCCAUCAUAUAAUUGAAACGAAGAGUCGUAGCACGCGACAGAUUGCUUUGACUUGAUUUAUGGCAAAAUUAUAAACAACGCGAUGGAUUCUUUAACUUUGUCAAAGUUCUCUUUUUUCCCAAAUGUUUUUCCUUUCAAAUAUAUCUUCUUACCGAUUAUUACUUCAGCCUCUGUGGGAUUGUGACUUAUGCCUUCACUUUUUCUUGCUUCAUAAGUUGUUAGGACUUGUGAAGUUUUGAUGAUUGACAAGAGGCCAUGGAAUAAGUAAGUUUAGCUGAUUCAUGAAAAACUAUUUUAAAGAGUUCAAC
rnacentral:lncRNA from 1 species